ACGCCUCGCCCGUCCAGCGGGGCACAAAGAAAUCCCAGUCUCUUCGUAAACUUUGUGCUUCCAGUUAUGCCGCCCCCUCCCCUAGUCUCCACCCCCGCCCUUCCAGCUUCUUGGCAGGAAGGUUAGGCCCCUGGCAAAAUCCUCGGCGUGAGGCAGCUGAUCACAAAUGCCAACUGUGUGUCUUGGGGCCAGUUAAGCCCUCUCAUCUGCCCGGGCUCUCUAGAGACCAUUUCAAUGCUCUCAAGGUUCCCAGGAGACCGCUGCGGACGUGGACCAUCCCCCACUUAGCCCGCACGGAUGGGAUGCUGAGCGGUGUCCUCAAAGUGCUCUCUCUCACCUCGAGUUUUCAUUUCUAGAUUGUAAAAAUUCCGAAUUUGGAAACAGGCAGAUAUUUUUUCGUCAUAUCAAAAAGGAGGACCAUUAACUAGGUGAUUAGCCCUAGGUGGGAAAUGAACCGUCUCUAAUCAGAAUACUAACUUCUUGAGGAAGUCGGUGGAAGUUCUGAAGUCCCACCCCAUCCCAUGACCUUUAAUUCUUUUUAGUUCUUCUGCCACAGGGAAGCAGCCAGCGACUAAUAAAAGAUUUGAUCUUGCCAUAAUUUCCCAAGCAGACUCACUGAUUUCAUCUCUACAUAAUGGUUCAUUUUGAAAACUUUCGGCUUUCAAAGACAAAUCAUUGAAGAAUCACAUAUAUACUAUUCUGAGAGAAGAGAGUCAUGGGAUCAAGUCUAUUUAAAAAAAAAAAAAAGAAGAAGAAGAAGAAAAGAAAGAAAGUUCUUUGUUGCUAAGUCUGUAUAAUACAUUCACAUCUCCAAGUAUAAAAUAAAUAUUAAAGGAGUAUCACCUGAGAUUUUAGGGGACAUCUGUAGAUUUUGCCUGAUUAACAUCCAUUCUCUUUUCAGGUAAUAAUGCUGUAAUAUCUUUUAAAGAAUUACUCUUCCUCACCCAGUAUUUGGUCAUGUGAUACAAAUGUGACUGUCCUCAAUCCCUGACUAGUAUAUUCUAGGUGUUUGUCUACAGUGAUUGGUUAAAUGGCCCGAUUUGUUCCCAUUAGUCAGCCCUGGAAUUUUUUCCUGUUCCGGUGGAACCACUGAGGGAAAGGUGCUGUUUUUCUGCUGGGCUCCACCGGGAGAAUGCAAAUCCUGUCCUGCAAAAUCUGCUGUUGCCCAUCCUUGUUGGAAGAAACUGUUAAGAGCGCUGCCAACACAGAGGACUAAUUUUGUCUUAUCUUAGGAUCUGAUUUUUGGGAAAUCCAAACUAAGAUACCCAUCAACAUUUCAAUAUUACUUUGUUUUGGAUCCAUCAACAUUAUCUUUGUGUCUCCAUAAACAUUAGAGUCAUUUCUAUUAUAUGUCACUUUCAUCUAUUUGGCUAAGCUAACACUUAACGCACCUUUGUUGUCUUAGUAUAGAUGGCAUUUUUCACAGGAAGAUAUCACUUAUCUCCCAGUCUCAGUGAGAUGCUUCUUCUCCUUU